rnacentral:rRNA from 1 species
CCUACGGGAGGCAGCAGUGGGGAAUUUUGGACAAUGGGGGGGAACCCUGAUCCAGCCAUUCCGCGUGUGCGAUGAAGGCCUUCGGGUUGUAAAGCACUUUUGGCAGGAAAGAAAUCGCACGGAUUAAUACUUUGUGUGGAUGACGGUACCUGCAGAAUAAGCACCGGCUAACUACGUGCCAGCAGCCGCGGUAAUACGUAGGGUGCAAGCGUUAAUCGGAAUUACUGGGCGUAAAGCGUGCGCAGGCGGUUCGGAAAGAGAGGUGUGAAAUCCCAGGGCUUAACCUUGGAACUGCACUUUUAACUCCCGAGCUAGAGUAUGUCAGAGGGGGGUGGAAUUCCGCGUGUAGCAGUGAAAUGCGUAGAUAUGCGGAGGAACACCGAUGGCGAAGGCAGCCCCCUGGGAUGAUACUGACGCUCAUGCACGAAAGCGUGGGGAGCAAACAGGAUUAGAUACCCUGGUAGUCCACGCCCUAAACGAUGUCAACUAACUGUUGGGGGCUUCGGCCCUUAGUAGCGCAGCUAACGCGUGAAGUUGACCGCCUGGGGAGUACGGUCGCAAGAUUAAAACUUAAAGGAAUUGACGG